UACGUAGGGUCCAAGCGUUAUCCGGAAUCACUGGGCGUAAAGCGCACGCAGGCGUCUGCUAAGUUUGGAGUGACAGUUGGUGGCUUAACUGCCAAAGUGCUUCGAAAACUGACAGACUUGAGGGCUUCAGAGGGACACGGAAUUCCGGGUGGAGUGGUGAAAUGCGUAGAGAUCCGGAGGAACACCAAAGGCGAAGGCAGUGUCCUGGGGAGUACCUGACGCUCAGGUG
rnacentral:rRNA from 1 species